rnacentral:rRNA from 1 species
GUCCUUUUGAGUUAAAUUUAAGGUCUAACCUGCCCACUGAUUUUUAAAUGGCCGCAGUACUCUAACUGUGCAAAGGUAGCAUAAUAAUUAGUCUUUUAAUUGAAGGCUUGCAUGAAUGGUUGGACGAAAUACUAACUGUUUCAUUUAGAUUUAUAGUAGAAUUUUAUUUUUCAGUCAAAAAGCUGAAAUUUUUUUAAAAGACGAGAAGACCCUAUAAAUCUUUACAUAUUUAUUUAAAUAUUUUAAAAAGAAUAUUAUAAAAUAUUUUGAUUUCUGUGUUUUAUUGGGGUGAUAUUAAAAUUUGAAAAACUUUUAAUUUAAAAAUUCAUUAAUGUAUGAUUUUUAGAUCCGUAUAAACGAUUAAUAAAUUAAGUUACUUUAGGGAUAACAGCGUAAUUCUUUUGGAGAGUUCAUAUCGAUAAAAGAGAUUGCGACCUCGAUGUUGGAUUAAGGAAUAAUUUUAGAUGCAGCAGUCUAAAUGAUAAGUCUGUUCGACUUUUAAACCCUU